GAUGAACGCUGGCGGCGUGCCUAAUACAUGCAAGUCGAGCGAACGGACGAUAAGCUUGCUUCUCUGAUGUUAGCGGCGGACGGGUGAGUAACACGUGGAUCACCUACCUAUCAGACUGGGAUAACUUCGGGACACCGUAGCUAAUACCAGAUAAUAUUUUGAACCGCAUGGUUCAGAAGUGAAAGACGGUCUUGCUGUCACUUAUCGCUGGAUCCGCGCUGCAUUAGCUAGUUGGUACGGUAACGGCUUACCACGGCAACGAUGCAUAGCCGACCGGAGAGGGUGAUAGGCCACACUGGAACGGAGACAGGGUCAAGACUCCUACGGGAGGGCGCAGUAGGGAACCGUACGCAAUGGGGGAGAGCCUGACGGAGCAGCGCCGCGUGAGUGAUGAAGGUGCUGGGAUCGUAAAGCCCGGUUAUUAGGGAAGAACAUAUGUGUACGGAAACGUGCACAUCGUGACGGUACCUAAUCAGAAAGCAACGGCUAACUACGUG
rnacentral:rRNA from 1 species